rnacentral:rRNA from 1 species
UACGUAGGGGGCAAGCGUUGUCCGGAUUUAUUGGGCGUAAAGAGCGUGUAGGCGGCCAGGUAGGUCCGCUGUGAAAACUCGAGGCUCAACCUCGAGAUGUCGGCGGAAACCAUCUGGCUAGAGUCCGGAAGAGGAGAAUGGAAUUCCCGGUGUAGCGGUGAAAUGCGCAGAUAUCGGGGAAGAACACCCCGUGGCGAAGGCGGUUCUCUGGGACGGUACUGACGCUGAGACGCGAAAGCGCGGGGAGCGAACAGG